rnacentral:rRNA from 1 species
AGUGAACGCUGGCGGUAGGCCUAACACAUGCAAGUCGAACGGCAGCACAGUAAGAGCUUGCUCUUACGGGUGGCGAGUGGCGGACGGGUGAGGAAUACAUCGGAAUCUACUUUUUCGUGGGGGAUAACGUAGGGAAACUUACGCUAAUACCGCAUACGACCUACGGGUGAAAGCAGGGGAUCUUCGGACCUUGCGCGAUUGGAUGAGCCGAUGUCGGAUUAGCUAGUUGGCGGGGUAAAGGCCCACCAAGGCGACGAUCCGUAGCUGGUCUGAGAGGAUGAAAAGCCAAACUGGAACUGAGAAACGGCCCAGACUCCUAGGGGAGGAAGCAGUGGGGAAAAUUGGAAAAUGGGGGAAAGCCUGAUCCAGCCAUACCGGGGGGGGGAAGAAGGCCUUGGGGUUGUAAAGCCCUUUUGUUGGGAAAAAAAAGCAGCAGGUUAAUACCCCGCUGUUCUGACGGUACCCAAAGAAUAAGCACCGGCUAACUUCGU